rnacentral:tRNA from 1 species
GCCUUCGUGGUGUAACGGUAGCACACUCGGCGGAUAUUCGAAAGGUCCAGGUUCGAGUCCCAACGAAGGCA